rnacentral:rRNA from 1 species
GUACCUACGGGGCGCAGCAGUGGGGAAUAUUGCACAAUGGGGGAAACCCUGAUGCAGCGACGCCGCGUGAAGGAAGAAGUAUUUCGGUAUGUAAACUUCUAUCAGCAGGGAAGAAAAUGACGGUACCUGACUAAGAAGCCCCGGCUAACUACGUGCCAGCAGCCGCGGUAAUACGUAGGGUGCGAGCGUUAAUCGGAAUUACUGGGCGUAAAGCGCACGUAGGCUGUAUAACAAGUCAAGGGUGAAAUGCCACGGCUCAACCGUGGAACUGCCUUUGAAACUGUCAAACUGGAGUAUGUGAGAGG